GAUGGACGCUAGCGGCAGGCUUAAUACAUGCAAGUCGAGGGGCAGCACAGGUAGCAAUACUGGGUGGCGACCGGCAAACGGGUGCGGAACACGUACACAACUUACCUUAAGGUGGGGGAUAGCCCAGGGAAACUUGGAUUAAUACCCCAUAAUACAGGGGGCCCGCAUGGGUCUAUUGUUAAAGAUUUAUUGCCUUAAGAUGGGUGUGCGUCUGAUUAGGUAGUUGGUGAGGUAAAGGCUCACCAAGCCAACGAUCAGUAACUGGUGUGAGAGCACGACCAGUCACACGGGCACUGAGAAACGGGCCCGACUCCUACGGGAGGCAGCAGUAAGGAAUAUUGGUCAAUGGACGGAAGUCUGAACCAGCCAUGCCGCGUGAAGGAUGAAGGUCCUCUGGAUUGUAAACUUCUUUUAUCUGGGACGAAAAAAGGCGAUUCUUCGUCACUUGACGGUACCAGAUGAAUAAGCACCGGCUAACUCCGUGCCAGCCGCCGCCGUAAAAC
rnacentral:rRNA from 1 species